rnacentral:lncRNA from 1 species
AUGGCAGAGAUGGCUGGGAAAAGCUUCAUUUCCAGCAUGGAAAAGCUGUCUGAUGAUAAUUAUGCUUCGUGGUCAGUAAUGAUGCGGUCUUUGCUGUCAUCUGAGGAUUUGGAAAAUACCCUCAUUGGAACAGAUCAAAAUGCUGAGCACAGAAGGAAAGCCAAAGCAUAUUUGAUACUGUGCCUCCAACCAAACCAACUUGUCCAUGUGAGAAACAAGGACACUCCUGAGGAGAUAUGGCAAGCUUUAAGAAAUGUCCAUCAGAGAGAGACUUGCAUGUCUCAAAUGAUUUGGACUAAGAGGCUGCUUUCAGCAAAACUUGUUCAGGGCCAAGAUGUCAGAAAACAUUUGGACAAUGUAAAGCAAUUAUUGAUUGGAGCUGAGGAAAGAGGCCUACAAUAUUCUGAAGCACAGAAGUGUUAUCUGGUGCUGUGCAGCUUGUCUGAGGACUGGGACUUUCUGGUACAUUCUUUCCAGAAUGUGAGAGUCCAGGAUUUAACUUUGGAUUCAGUUUGUGGAAGAAUCCAAGAAGAAGUGGACCGGAGGGCAUUUGAACAAGCCCAGAAGCAGACGAUGGCGCAGUGCGACCAGGAGGGGGCGCAAGUGGCCGGCUUUGGUCCUGAUGGUGUUCCUGGGAAUCGUGAGGAGGUUGCAGUACAUCAGGUCAAAACACGGUGGUGUUUUGUCUGCAACAGGCUGGGGCAUUUUGCCAGGAGUUGCCCAAACAACAAGGCAAGAAGUUCUCGUGGGAACAGAGGGGCUAAGAAUUUGUCAACAACAACUAAGCCCAAAGUGUUUAUGGCUGCGGUGAAUAGAAGGAUCACUGAAAAGAACAAGUGGUAUUUGGACUCAGGUUGUACACACCAUGUUGUUACAAAUCUUAAACUUUUGAAAAACAGAAGGGAUGUGUCUGGAACAGCAGUGACUUUGGCUGAUGGAACUGAGAGGAAGUUCAACAAAUGUGGCACUGUGUUCAUUCCUUGCUUGAAUGUGGAUUGGGAAAAUGUACUUUACAUCCCAGAAUUGAGUUCUAAUUUGUUAAGUGUGGCUACCUUAACUGAGAACGGAUAUAGAGUCAUUUUUAGCGGAAUCUAUUUCUAUAUACAGAAAGAUGGACGAGUAGUAGCAAAAGGUGUAAAAAGAAACAAAAUGUAUAUGAUGUUUGACAAAAAUAACUUUCCAGAUGGGGCACAAGUCUAUUGUGUGAAGCAGAAAAUUAUGCAUGACAGGUGUAUCCAUCAUCUUCACAGAGCGAUGGGUCAUGCACGUGAAGGCUGGGACAGGUUGCAUUUGAACAAAGAGAUGUUGUUUAAUAACAAUUCCACAAAAGAAGCGGAGGUACAGAAAGCUUCAGGUGGAGGGGGUUCUGUUGUUGAAAAAGAUAUGCAACGAACCAUUAAGGAGGAGAUGGUUACUCCAGUGAAACAUGGGGAAGUACAGACUCCCCAGAAGAGUCAGAAGAGAGGGGGUAAAGGGAAAAAAUCACCUAAGCUUGAGAGUGAAGAGCAGGUGACAGAAAAAAGUGAAGAUAUAUCUCUUCUUGAGACCGAGAUUGAAUCAGUUGAUCAGUGGUCUCCAACUUGUCAAUUGGCACAGGUGUUACCAAAGCGCCAGAGAUGCAAAAACAUUGUGCCUGUUUAUUAG